rnacentral:rRNA from 1 species
UACAGAGGGGGCAAGCGUUGUUCGGAAUUACUGGGCGUAAAGGGCGCGUAGGCGGCCUUCUAAGUCAGACGUGAAAUCCCCAGGCUCAACCUGGGAACUGCGUCUGAUACUGGAUGGCUUGAAUCCGGGAGAGGGAUGUGGAAUUCCAGGUGUAGCGGUGAAAUGCGUAGAUAUCUGGAGGAACACCGGUGGCGAAGGCGGCAUCCUGGACCGGUAUUGACGCUGAGGCGCGAAAGCCAGGGGAGCAAACGGG